rnacentral:rRNA from 1 species
AGUCGUAACAAGGUUUCCGUAGGUGAAACUGCGGAAGGAUCAUUAUUGAGUUUUGACUGGGCUGUCGCUGGCCUUACGAGGCAUGUGCACGUCCUGUUCAUUCCACUCUACACCUGUGCACUACUGUGGGUUUCAAGUGUGAUUAAUGGGUCCUUAUGGGCCUGAGGAAAGCAUUUGGGCCUGCGUUUAUUACAAACCAUAAUUAGUAUUAGAAAUGUGUUAUUUAUGAUGUAACGCAUCAAAUGUACAACUUUCAGCAAACGGGUUCUCUUGGUUUCUCGCAUCGAUGAAAAAACGCAAGCGAAAAUGCGAUUAAGUUAAUGUGAAAUUGCAGAAAUUCAAGUGAAAUCAUCGAAAUCUUUUGAAACGCACCCUUGCGCUCCUUGGUUUUUCCGGAGGAAGCAUGCCUGUUUGAAGUGUCAAGAAAAUCAUCAAACUUGAAUAAAUCUUUGUGGGUUUUAUUUAUGCUUGGACUGGAAGCUUUGUUGGCUUUGAUUAUAAGUCAACUCCUCUUAAUGCAUUAGCUUGGUUUCUGAUCAGCUAUUAGUGUGAUAAUUGUCUAUACUAUAACUGUGAAGUGUUGCUAAGCUCAUAACUGUCUUAUGGACAAUUUUGACAUCUGCCUCAAUCA